UUUUGCAAGGGGUCAAACCUUUCAUAACCCGGAUGGCUCCAAUGCGGGAGGGCCGUACGAGACGUGCGCCAGCCCGUGCGUGGCGCUAGUUGCCUGAUUCAAACUCGCCUUAGUCAAGGUCGCUAGUGAAAUUGUUCCGCUUGCCAAAACCACCACAAUGUCUGCCUUUCAGGAUUGCCGGGGCAGCGGAUCGGACGAGUGCCUGCACCGAGAGGGACUGGACCGGAGCGCGAGACCAGAGGUUGCGUGAGGAUGAGUCCAAACGUCGAGCACCGGCCGAGCGGGGACCCGACCAUCGGCCGAUCUUCACCCGUGACGAGCGGCCUACAACAGACGGACGGACGGGUGCAGAUGCGGCGAGGGCAAAGUGCCCAGCCAGCAUUUAAGGAGAGUAUCACUGUUUUUCCCUUUGGUGCUUUCUUUCUUUCCCUCCCUCCACUUUUUCACUGGGUGUGCACACUGGCUGUCUGCAUGAUGCCUCUUUCUUUCUCAGCGCAGCGUCAUUUUGCAAUAUUGUUUAAUUGUUGUGGUUUUUUUAAUACAUGAAGUGAACUUUUUGUACUGUAAUUGUGUGUGUACCUCUGAACCUGAAUUAAACUGUGAACUGAAUUCAAGUGGUCCAUUUUAAACAUUGGCAUGCGCAGUCUAUAGUGCAUAAUCAGAGUAAAAAGACAACAUACAAACUGGAAUCAUUUGAGACUCUCAAUAAGGCAAUUGUAAAGUUAGUCUCAAACCAAAUUGUCUUGUUAAAUAUGCAGUGUCAGGCUUUUUAUUUCUUUUUUACACUACACAAAGAAAAGCUGUAUGCAUUCUAAAUUGUUGACAAAAGUCAAGUAGCCUGACACCCAUAGGUUCAAACGACAAGCGGAAAUCUACAGUCUCUGUUGCGAUCAAUAAGGUUGGCAACCCCGCUUUAAAAUGGCCAUUGAACUCAGAAUCUUGCUUAAUGUUGGUGCAAUUUUCUGUACGAGUAAGUCGGUUUUAAUCGAGGCUGAGGCCUUUAUUUUUUAUCAUGUGGGCAUUCCUGUGAAUAAAGUCCACGUUGGUGUGUUUA